rnacentral:rRNA from 1 species
CUACGGGCGGCUGCAGUGGGGGAUAUUGCACAAUGGGGGAAACCCUGAUGCAGCAACGCCGCGUGAAGGAAGACGGAUUUCGGUCUGUAAACUUCUAUCAGCUGGGAAGAAAAUGACGGUACCAGACUAAGAAGCCCCGGCUAACUACGUGCCAGCAGCCGCGGUAAUACGUAGGGGGCAAGCGUUAUCCGGAUUUACUGGGUGUAAAGGGUACGUAGGCGGUUAUUUAAGUCAGAUGUGAAAGCCCGGAGCUCAACUCCGGGACUGCAUUUGAAACUGGGUAACUAGAGUACAGGAGAGGAAAGCGGAAUUCCUAGUGUAGCGGUGAAAUGCGUAGAUAUUAGGAAGAACACCAGUGGCGAAGGCGGCUUUCUGGACUGUAACUGACGCUGAGGUACGAAAGCGUGGGGAGCGAACAGGAUUAGUACCCCAGUAGUC